rnacentral:rRNA from 1 species
UGAGGAAUAUUGGUCAAUGGGCGCGAGCCUGAACCAGCCAAGUAGCGUGAAGGAUGAAGGUCCUAUGGAUUGUAAACUUCUUUUAUAGCAGAAUAAAGUGACCCACGUGUGGGUUUUUGUAUGUAUGCUAUGAAUAAGGAUCGGCUAACUCCGUGCCAGCAGCCGCGGUAAUACGGAGGAUCCGAGCGUUAUCCGGAUUUAUUGGGUUUAAAGGGUGCGUAGGCGGAAAGAUAAGUCAGCCUGUGAAAGUUUGCGGCUCAACCGUAAAAUUGCAGUUGAUACUGUUUUUCUUGAGUGUACAUAAGGUAGGCGGAAUUCGUGGUGUAGCGGUGAAAUGCUUAGAUAUCACGAAGAACUCCGAUUGCGAAGGCAGUUUACCGGGGUACAACUGACGCUGAUGCACGAAAGUGUGGGUAUCAAA